rnacentral:rRNA from 1 species
AUGAACGCUAGCGAUAGGCUUAACACCUGCAAGUCGAGGGGCAGCAUGGUCUUAGCUUGCUAAGACUGAUGGCGACCGGCGCACGGGUGCGUAACGCGUAUGCAACUUGCCUCACAGAGGGGGAUAACCCGUCGAAAGACGGACUAAUACCGCGUACACUCCAUCUUGGGCAUCCAAGGUAGAGGAAAUGAAAUUCGCUGUGAGAUAGGCAUGCGUCCCAUUAGCUAGUUGGUGAGGUAACGGCUCACCAAGGCGACGAUGGGUAGGGGAACUGAGAGGUUGAACCCCCACACUGGUACUGAGACACGGACCAGACUCCUACGGGAGGCAGCAGUGAGGAAUAUUGGUCAAUGGGCGAGAGCCUGAACCAGCCAAGUCGCGUGAAGGAUGACUGUCUUAUGGAUUGUAAACUUCUUUUAUACGGGAAUAACAAGAGUCACGUGUGACUCCCUGCAUGUACCGUAUGAAUAAGCAUCGGCUAACUCCGUG